rnacentral:ncRNA from 1 species
UUGAAUUAGGUUCUUUAUAAGAUUAAUAGGGAAAAAGGUGAAAAUCCUUUGCAGCCCCCGCUACUGUAAGAUGGACGAAACUAAAGUUACCACUGUCGAUAUGAUGGGAAGGUAUAGGAGUAGGAUGAAGUUGAGCCAGGAUACCUGCCUAAUUUAAUU